UACAGAGGUCUCAAGCGUUGUUCGGAUUCAUUGGGCGUAAAGGGUGCGUAGGCGGCGCGGUAAGUCGGGUGUGAAAUCUCGGAGCUUAACUCCGAAACUGCAUUCGAUACUGCCGUGCUUGAGGACUGGAGAGGAGACUGGAAUUUACGGUGUAGCGGUGAAAUGCGUAGAUAUCGUAAGGAAGACCAGUGGCGAAGGCGGGUCUCUGGACAGUUACUGACGCUCAGGCACGAAAGCAUGGGGAGCAAAAGGG
rnacentral:rRNA from 1 species